UACUACAAACCCAUAUGUGGCAGCGAUGGCCAUACCUACAGCAACAUCUGCUCAUACUGUAUGUUUAAACGAAGUGCUACCAGUCCUCUCCAUAUUGUCAAAUAUGCAGCCUGUUGAAUUCAUAGAGGAGCACCUGGAGGUUUGCUGAUCUUCACUCUGCUUUGCACUUCACAAGCCCCUUUGCCCCACUGCUGACCCCUGCAUCCUUUUAAAUUUGAAAUAAACGUUUCCUUGUAGCAUGA